rnacentral:rRNA from 1 species
CCUACGGGGGGCUGCAGUGAGGAAUAUUGGUCAAUGGGCGAGAGCCUGAACCAGCCAAGUAGCGUGCAGGAAGACGGCCCUAUGGGUUGUAAACUGCUUUUAUAGGGGAAUAAAGUAGACUACGUGUAGUUUAUUGUAUGUACCCUAUGAAUAAGGACCGGCUAAUUCCGUGCCAGCAGCCGCGGUAAUACGGAAGGUUCGGGCGUUAUCCGGAUUUAUUGGGUUUAAAGGGAGCGUAGGCCGUAGAUUAAGCGUGUUGUGAAAUGUAGAUGCUCAACAUCUGACUUGCAGCGCGAACUGGUUUACUUGAGUGUGCACAACGUAGGCGGAAUUCGUCGUGUAGCGGUGAAAUGCUUAGAUAUGACGAAGAACUCCGAUUGCGAAGGCAGCUUACGGGAGCACAACUGACGCUGAAGCUCGAAGGUGCGGGUAUCAAACAGGAUUAGAUACCCGGGUAGUC